UACAGAGGGUGCAAGCGUUGUUCGGAAUUAUUGGGCGUAAAGGGCGCGUAGGCGGUUCGGCAAGUCUCUAGUGAAAUCUCAGGGCUCAACUCUGAGUCUGCUGGGGAAACUGCCGGGCUUGAGUGUGGGAGAGGAGAGUGGAAUUCCCGGUGUAGCGGUGAAAUGCGUAGAUAUCCGGAGGAACACCGGUGGCGAAGGCGGCUUCCUGGACCGACACUGACGCUGAGGCGCGAAAGCCAGGGGAGCAAACGGG
rnacentral:rRNA from 1 species